rnacentral:lncRNA from 1 species
ACUAUAGGUGGAUAGUGUAGAUAUUGGUAUGGAAUUUUUAAUUGCGAGACGAGUACAAAUAUUAGCUGACUUAACCCAUUGUGAUUUUUAGUAACAAAGCAGUAUCAAAGCUGGAUAUGAUGUUUUUAGCUAUCCGAUCCGUUCCAAAUUUUAAUUGAAUCCAUUUAACAUACUCUAUAGAAAUUAAAAUUUAAAAUUAAAACCUC